CCUACGGGAGGCAGCAGUGGGGAAUAUUGCACAAUGGAGGAAACCCUGAUGCAGCGACGCCGCGUGAGUGAAGAAGUCUUUCGGUAUGUAAAGCUCUAUCAGCAGGGAAGAAAAUGACGGUACCUGAUUACCAAGCCCCGGCUAACUACGUUCCAGCAGCCGCGGUAAUACGUAGGGGGCAAGCGUUAUCCGGAUUUACUGGGUGUAAAGGGAGCGUAGACGGCAGAACAAGUCUGGAGUGAAAGGCCGGGGCUUAACCCCGGAACUGCUUUGGAAACUGUGCGGCUAGAGUGCAGGAGAGGUAAGUGGAAUUCCUAGUGUAGCGGUGAAAUGCGUAGAUAUUAGGAGGAACACCAGUGGCGAAGGCGGCUUACUGGACUGUAACUGACGUUGAGGCUCGAAAGCGUGGGGAGCAAACAGGAUUAGAUACCCUGGUAGUC
rnacentral:rRNA from 1 species